CGCGCAGGCGGCGUCGUAAGUCGGUCUUAAAAGUGCGGGGCUUAACCCCGUGAGGGGACUGAAACUGCGAUGCUAGAGUAUCGGAGAGGAAAGCGGAAUUCCUAGUGUAGCGGUGAAAUGCGUAGAUAUUAGGAGGAACACCAGUGGCGAAAGCGGCUUUCUGGACGACAACUGACGCUGAGGCGCGAAAGCCAGGGGAGCAAACGG
rnacentral:rRNA from 1 species